GGAGGGGUGGCCGAGUGGUUGAAGGCGCAGGUCUCGAAAACCUGUAUACCUGCAAAGGUAUCGCGAGUUCGAAUCUCGCCCCCUCCG
rnacentral:tRNA from 1 species